UACGUAGGGGGCAAGCGUUGUCCGGAUUUAUUGGGCGUAAAGAGCGUGUAGGCGGCCAAGCAGGUCCGCUGUGAAAACUCGAGGCUCAACCUCGAGACGUCGGUGGAAACCGUUUGGCUAGAGUCCGGAAGAGGAGAGUGGAAUUCCUGGUGUAGCGGUGAAAUGCGCAGAUAUCAGGAAGAACACCAAUGGCGAAAGCAGCUCUCUGGGACGGUACUGACGCUGAGACGCGAAAGCGUGGGGAGCGAACAGG
rnacentral:rRNA from 1 species